CAUUCUGGGGUCAUUCUACCGAAACGCAAUAUUUGUGUUCGCUUAAAAUAUAUCGUAGCUCCGUAAAUUUGAACUAAUUUUAAAACCUAAUUAUUACAUUUCAUGACCUUCUUCAACAUAUUAAAUAACUAUUUUUAUAAUUAAAUUAAAUAUUAAAUUUUACUUUAUUUCAGUGGUACAGUACGUGAUUACUCACGUCCUGUAGAAUGUUCGCGACAUAGGAUAUAAUAUUGACGUGUCUCUAAAACUUAUUUAGAAAGAUUUUACAUGUAUGGCAAAUUGAUUAUUGUGUAAAGUAUAUGACAAAGAAAGCACCACUAAAAAUAAUAAAAAAUCUCACUUAUUAUUUUAAAAGUUAUUUAUCAUUCUACAAUGUUCGUGAAAAAUAAUCACACCUGUAGAAAAAAAAUUGCCGAAAUGCUAAAAUUUUUAUUUUUCAAGUUGGAACAUUUGUAUAUAGCUCUAGCAACUCUAUGAUUUGCCUUGUUAUGACUAGUGUAGGCCAUAUUUCUGCAAGUGAUAGCAUUUCAGAGAAUCAUUAAGUUGUAUAGGCGUUCUACACCAGCGUCAAAGUUGAAGUCUCAUUUCUGUACUCAAUAAAAAAAAUUUUUUCAGGUAUAUCAGGCAAAACGCGAUUGGAGAAAGAAAAAGAGUAACGUUUAGGAAGAACAAAAAAAGGCUUGGAUACCGAAGAAGAGACAAAAAAUGACCAUAGCUGGACCGGAAGGAGCACAUCGAAAAUAUAGAGAAAGAUACUAAAAAAAACUAUUAAGAAGCUGGGAAAUAAAAUCAAUUAAAGACUACACACCAAGAGCACAAAAAACAAUAUGAAAGAGUUGGCCAGAGCGUGUAUAAGGAUUGAAAAGAAGAUAAUUCUCCUUCAAGUCCAGUUUCACAAAUAUCUACAGUAUUUUCUAGAUUUUCCUUAGAUCAAAGUCUUGCAGACAAAAAUAGAUGAACACUGAAAUUAGAAAAUUUGCUUCUUAAGCUGAGAAAAUUAAGCUAGCAGAGUUUGAAAAACAGCUCAAAUUUGCUCCCAUUACAAAGUUAGACUUAUUUACUUUACUCCCAAAAAAAAAAAAACUGAAGACUGACCUGAUUUAACGAAACCAACCCAUUCACAGCUGGUAUCUGCAGAACCAAUCAUAAUAUAGGAAUAUACAGGAACCCAAUAACGACAACGUCACGUCCAGGGUUGAAAUUUUUUACAGAUCAACCUUUGAAUGUGAGGGUACUUCUGAUAUUUUUCAAACUGGAAAA